rnacentral:rRNA from 1 species
CCUACGGGUGGCAGCAGUCGAGAAUCAUUCACAAUGGGGGAAACCCCGAUGGUGCGACGCCGCGUGGGGGAAUGCAGGUCUUCGGAUUGUAAACCCCUGUCAUGUGGGAGCAAAUUAAAAAGAUAGUACCACAAGAGAAAGAGACGGCUAACUCUGUGCCAGCAGCCGCGGUAAUACAGAGGUCUCAAGCGUUGUUCGGAAUCACUGGGCGUAAAGCGUGCGUAGGCUGUUUCGUAAGGCGUGUGUGAAAGGCGCGGGCUCAACCCGCGGACGGCACAUGAUACUGCGAGACUAGAGUAAGGGAGGGGGAAGCGGAAUGCGUGGUGUAGCAGUGAAAUGCGUAGAUAUCGAGAGGAACACUCGUGGCGAAGGCGGGUUCCUGGACAUUAACUGACGCUGAUGCACGAAGGCGAGGGGAGCGAAAGGGAUUAGAUACCCCAGUAGUC